rnacentral:rRNA from 1 species
AUUGAACGCUGGCGGCAUGCCUUACACAUGCAAGUCGAACGGCAGCGCGGGAGCAAUCCUGGCGGCGAGCGGCGAACGGGUGAGUAAUAUAUCGGAACGUGCCCAGUAGUGGGGGAUAGCCCGGCGAAAGCCGGAUUAAUACCGCAUGAGACCUGAGGGUGAAAGCGGGGGAUCGCAAGACCUCGCGCUAUUGGAGCGGCCGAUAUCAGAUUAGCUAGUUGGUGGGGUAAAGGCCUACCAAGGCAACGAUCUGUAGUUGGUCUGAGAGGACGACCAGCCACACUGGGACUGAGACACGGCCCAGACUCCUACGGGAGGCAGCAGUGGGGAAUUUUGGACAAUGGGCGCAAGCCUGAUCCAGCAAUGCCGCGUGCAGGAAGAAGGCCUCGGUU